CAGCAUAUUUUAAAGAUAUUUGGCUUGGAGGCAUUCUUCGAACCACAUCAAGAUCGGAGAGUGCGAAUUCGUUUUUCAACCGUUUUAUAGGUCGUAAGCUUGCAUUAAUUGAGUUUUGGCUCCGGUUUGACACAGCUUUGCAAUGCCAGCGUCAAGAAGAAUUGAUACAUGAUAACACAACCCUGCAUACAAACCCUACUCUAUUGACUACAUGGGAAAUUGAGAAACAUGGUAGCUAUGUUUUCACACAUGAGGUUUUUGAAAAAUUUCAAGAAGAGGUGUUAGCUGCAAGGGAGUAUUGUGAUAUCCAGAGCACAACUGAAUUGGAGGAUAGAAAAAUUGUUACCAUGACCGACAACUAUAGAAGAAUUAGAGAGGUAAUUUGCUUCAGCACCGAGCAGAUAUAUAAGUGCUCGUGCAUGCUUUUUGAGUCCAUUGGAAUACCUUGUCGUCAUAUCAUACGCAUGUUUAGAGGUGCAAGACUAAAUGAAAUUCCACAGCACUACAUCACGAAAAGAUGGAUGAAAAAUUGUAAAAGAAACCAUGCAUUUGAUAGCGACGGUAAUUUAUUAGUGGAGAAGGCCACUAGUUCUAUGGCUGCAUCUAUGAGAAGGAAGAUGUCAAGCGCACAGAAUAAAUUUGAAGAUAUUUUUCGAAGGGCGAAAACAUCAGAAGAAGGCAUAGAUGUUUUGAUACAAAACCUGGAAUCACUUUCCCUGUUGUUUGAUCCUAGCACUCAGACUAGACAACAGGAACAGGAAAAUUUUAUUGGCUGUAGCAUUCCUAAUGACGUGCAGGUUCACCCACCUAAUGAUACUCGCGCAAAGGGAAAGUGCAAGAGAAUAUUGGGACAUGCAGACAAAAACAAAAGGCAAAAGGAUUCGGGUUCACGCAAGUGCACGAUAUGCAAAGAUGUCGGGCAUGAUAGACGUAAUUGUCCAAAGAAAGAAUCAGGGGCUGAUACACAUGAAAGCUGAAGCCUGAACUGCAAUUUGUUUCCUGCUACAUAGGAAAAUAGCAUCUCAGAUUUGUUUUUUUUUUCAUGUUCAAACAUUAGCUCCUCUUGGUUUGGAACUCUGUAAUCUUUUGAGCUUUGAUCCCCUCACUAUGAUUGCUACAUAUGCUGUCUCAUAUUGCCCUCUUCCACGUUGAGACGAUGCAGAAAAUUCACCAAUGUGUGCACUUGA